rnacentral:sRNA from 1 species
CCAUCCACAUCCUCCUCCUCUGAGAUCGCAGUCAACUCGGAGGAGUAAAGGCAAAUUGAAUCCAUCACAGGCACAGGAGGAGGCGGCGUGCUAUCUCCAUCGCAGAAAAAUGGCCUCGGAGGCACUUGCAACGCAUCAACAUCCCCUUCGAGCAUCUCUAUGACCUCACUCAUUGUUGGCCGAUCAUAUGAUUUCAUCUGGAUGCACCAAAACACAACAAGCCACAGCUUCCUCUCUUUCUCAUGCAUGUCAAUAGCACUAGAUAUCUCAUCAACUUGUUGAUCUACUAUAAGCUGGUCAUACACCCAUGCUGGGUAGUAUGCCCUACUCGAAUUUGAGUUUGCAUUUGGGUCUGCGUUCUUUCUACCUCCAGCCAUCUCAAGCAGCAGCAUUCCAAAGCUAUAAACAUCGGAUUUGCUGGAUAUGACGCCAAAACUACGACAUGCCAUCUCUGGAGCCAUAUACCCAAAUGUUCCUCGUAAAGCCCUAUCUGACACAAAGCUCUUCUCCCUUGGGUACAAUUUUGCAAGGCCGAAAUCAGCGACCUUUGGAAUAAAGUUGUCAUCCAGAAGGAUGUUGUCUGGCUUGAUGUCAAAGUGUAGAAUCUGCAUCUCGCACCCUUGGUGCAGGUAGUUGAUCCCUCUAGCAAUGCCCAGAGCAAUCUCAUUGAGCUUGUCCCACGAGAAGCUUCUCUCGGAUGAGAAGAUAUACCUGUUUAAAGAUCCUCUAGGCAUGUAUUCAUAAACCAGAGCUCUUCUCAUUUCUUCGGAGCAGAACCCCACAAGACGAACCACGUUGAUGUGGUGGAUUCUGCCUAUGGUGGCAACUUCACUGAUGAAGUCUUCUCCGUUGCAGUCGGAUUUUCCAUCCAACAUCUUGAUGGCAACAUGGAUGUCACCAGGGAGAAGCACACCCUUGUAUACAGAUCCGUAUCCUCCUUGGCCCAACUUAUCCCUGAAAUGGCUUGUGAUUGCUAUGAUGUCUGUGUAGGCGUACCUCUUUGGACCUAGCAUCUCUUGCAUCCGGAGGAACUUCUCCACUGCAUCGAUCGCUAUCCUUGUUUUCCAGUACUUGUGGGCAAGAAAUGUGAGUACCACCAGCGGUGCCAACACGAACCUGCAUAGAACU